AUGCAACUUCGGCUAGGAUGUUCUUGGUUGCUACUGCUACUGCUACUGCUACCGCUGCCGCUGCCGCUGCGACUGCGACUGCGACUACUACUGCGACUCCUACUACUACUGCAACUCCUACUGCUACUCCUACUACUGCGACUCCUACUGCUACUGUUGCUCCUCCUGCUGCUCCUCCUGCUGCUACUGCUACUGCUACUGCUACUACUAUGCAAGACAUUUAAUGAUUUCUUUGUUGUAUGUCUUGGUGCAGGUGCUGGGCAAGUUGGUAGAAAAAAUAAAACCCUCAAUGACCAGCAAAAAUUUGCUGCUUAUGUAGCAUUGCAUACAUUGUGUAUGAGUAGAGGAGGCACUUUUAAGAAAACUGAUACGCAAGACAUUGCAAUUUUUUUUGGAGUGGGUGUUUGGAAUAUACAAAGAAUUUGGAGGAAAGCAAUGUUGCAAAUUCAACAAGGUCAAGAGGUAGAUGUUGCCGAUCAGAGAAAAGGAAAUUCUGGAAGAAAGCCUAAGGACAUUAACCUAAAAAUCCUAACAAUCCCAUUAAACAGGAGGUCUACUAUUAGGUCACUAGCCUGGCAACUGGGAUGUAGCCCUACCACACUUCAUAGAAAGUUC
rnacentral:rRNA from 1 species